UUCAGAUCAGUAUUUUGGAGAUUGGACAUUCCUUAUCCAGAAUUCUGGAAUCUGAAAUACUCCAAAAUUCAAACUUGUCGACAUGGGAGGCUGAGGGACUCGGGGUGGCAAACAUGGGACUGUUGUCGACCGCGUUUUUAGGGGAUCGGGCCCCUUAAGGAGAGAGCCGAUCCGGUCCUGAGAGAACGGACCUUGGCGGAGCCAAUAGGAGAAUAUGAGCCGCAAUACAACCUGGAGCCGAAAUGAAGAAGGUCCGCCAAAGUUGAAGGAAAAUCCGCCAAGGAGUCUUUAUUGAGCGAUUCAGCUGAAAAGGACACUAGUAGCGAUCAUUCAGUCUACUAGCGUACCAUAUAACCAAAAUAAAGCCAUAUUUAUACAAUG